AGUGACAUUACAGCAUAACAGAAAAAAAUUCUGUCUGUUCCAGAGUCACUCUGGAGCUUUUACAGCAAAAGGCAUGGCAAACCUGUGGAGCUGUCUGUGAAGGUGACAGGUGAAGCACCAUCCUAGCACUACCUCCUGGCCCUGGUGCAGCUAACUUCUGAGAGCAAAGCAGGAACAAGUCUGCUGGUCAGCAACACUAUCUCAUUUGGACAUUAUUUCUAGUGACAAAUAUAGAUUUUGAGCACAGAUUCAUCAGUCAUGGAGAACCACCUUUCCAAG
rnacentral:lncRNA from 1 species